rnacentral:lncRNA from 1 species
UUUUGGGAAAAAGGGGUGAAAAUUUGGAUUAUGGGGGUGUUUUUGAAAAGAAAAUCAGAAACCGGGGGUCAAAAAGUAAUUUAAAAAAGUUGUGCCACGUCAACACCACGUCAGCAGCCACGUCAGUGGCCCGGUCAGCAGCCUCGGCCAACCAGAACGCGCCGCGUGGCAAGGACACGCUGACCAGGGGACGGGCCACGGGGGCGAUCCGCGUGCGCGCGAUCGGACGGCCCAGAUCCGUUCCCGCGCGCAAGGACAGCCCAGAUCAAACGUGUGCACGGACGGCCCAGAUUCACGCGCACGGACGGCCCAGAUUCAAUCAGGCAUGGACGGCCCAGAUUGCAUCGCAAUGAACGGCCCAGAUUUAAUCCCAAUUAAAUCGCGAUCGAACGGCCCAGAUUCAAUCUUGAUGGACGGUCAAGAUUAAAAGGCAAAGGGUAUAAAUAACCCCACCCACACCUGACCAAAGAAACCCUAGCCGCCAGUGCUCGCCAGAGAAGAAGAACCAGACGCCGGAGGAGCCGGCCGCCGCCACCCGCCGCCGCACCAGGGAAGUUUCCGACCGCCGAUCA